rnacentral:miRNA from 1 species
UAUAUAUAUAUGCAUGUGUGCAUGUGUAUGUGUAUGUGUGUGUACACAUAUACUAAGUUCAUAGAUACAGAGAA